CAGCAGCCACGGGAAUACGGAGGGUGCAAGCGUUACUCGGAAUCACUGGGCGUAAAGCGCGCGCAGGUGGUUUAAUAAGUCUGAUGUGAAAGCCCACGGCUCAACCGUGGAGGGUCAUUGGAAACUGUUAAACUUGAGUGCAGGAGAGAAAAGUGGAAUUCCUAGUGUAGCGGUGAAAUGCGCAGAGAUUAGGAGGAACACCAGUGGCGAAGGCGGCUUUUUGGCCUGUAACUGACACUGAGUCGCGAAAGCGUGGGGAGCAAACAGGAUUAGAUACCCCUGUAGUCCCUGUCUCUUAUAA
rnacentral:rRNA from 1 species